GAUGAACGCUGGCGGCGUGCCUAAUACAUGCAAGUCGAGCGAACAGACGAGGAGCUUGCUCCUCUGACGUUAGCGGCGGACGGGUGAGUAACACGUGGAUAACCUACCUAUAAGACUGGGAUAACUUCGGGAAACCGGAGCUAAUACCGGAUAAUAUAUUGAACCGCAUGGUUCAAUAGUGAAAGACGGUUUUGCUGUCACUUAUAGAUGGAUCCGCGCCGCAUUAGCUAGUUGGUAAGGUAACGGCUUACCAAGGCGACGAUGCGUAGCCGACCUGAGAGGGUGAUCGGCCACAUUGGAACUGAGACUCGGUCCAGACUCCUACGGGGGGCAACAGUAGGGAAUCUUACGCAAGGGGCGAAAGCCGGACGGAGCAACGCCGCGUGAGUGAUGAAGGUCUUCGGAUCGUAAAGCUCUGUUAUUAGGGAAGAACAAAAGUGUAAGUAACUAUGCACGUCUUGACGGUACCUAAACAGAAAGCCACGGCUAACUACGUG
rnacentral:rRNA from 1 species